CCCCCUGACCCUCCGCAGCCUCGCCGCCUCCCUCCCUCCUUCCACACUCCGCCCGUGCCGAUUCCCCAUCCGUUAAGCUCCAGUGCUGGGAAAUCCUGUGAAUUCCUCCGGUGGUGGCGGGGGUGGAGGUGGUGGGGGUUGCGUGUGGCACAUCCUUGGUGUUGGGGGCUGCAGGGGCUCGGCUCCCCUAGGCCCAGGAGGCAGAUGAAGCCCUCGGUUUGUGGGUUAGCGAAGGCAGGUAGCUCAGGAAGGAGAGGUCACGCUUGUCUCAAGCGCCCGGAGAGAGGGCAGCCACCUGCCACCCUGGGGACCUGGAGCAGUGGCCCAGGAGGUUGUGUGCAAGUGACAUUGAGGAAAACCUGUGCAAUUAUCCAGCUGCACUUACACUGUUAAGGGAGGUCGUUCUGGAUCACAGGGAAGACCUUCCAAGCAUUAAAAUUCCAUGUUAUCAUUGUCCCAAGGUAGAGUGGAGGUAUAAAGCAGCCGUGUCCGUCAGCAACUUCCAUGCCAGGAAACGGGGAAGAGUUGCUUUAAGGCCACAAGAUCGUUAUGCAUCAUCAUCAGACUUCCAUGUGGUUCACUCAACUGAAGUUGAAUGUGGAGGCCAGGAUGUUGUGGAGUUUAGAACACAGCUGUCUCCUUGCUCCUGGUCUGGCCCAAGGCCAUUUUACAUCAGUGCAGUGAUAUGAAAGAGUGUUCCAGUGCCCGAUGUGUUGGAAGCUACACUGGUUUUCAGGGAGGUGGGUGGACUAACACACAGAGCUCACUGCUGGACUACUGAACUUGGGAAGAAAGCCUUAUGGAGGUCUACCUGUGAGACCAUUCCAAAGGUCAUUACUAGGAUGCAGCAGCCUCUGGAUGUAGUUCUCAUUAUUUCUAAAUGGAUGCCAAUACUGAAUCUUCGUUAACCUCAAUCCUCCAUUUUAGAGACAGCAGCAGCUCCCUGGCUCCUGCACAUGCAAAACAUUUGAAUUUCCUGUUGGCUCAGAGAAUUGCAGCAUCACAGAAUAGGCCAAGUUGGAAGAGACCCACAAGGAUCAUCGAGUCCAACUCCUGCCCCUGCCCAAGACCGUCCCCCAGAGUCACACCAGGUGCCUGAAAGUAUUGUCCAAACACUUCUUGAACUCUGUUGGGCUUGGUGCUGUGACAACCUCUCUGGGAAGACUUUUCUAACACCCAACCACUCUCUGGGUGAAGAACCACUUUCUAGUAUCCAACUUAAACCUCCCUGGCACAACUUCAGGCCGUUCUGUUGGGUCCAGUCACUGGUCACCACAGAGAAGAGGUCAGUGUCUGCCCCUCUUGUUCCCCUCACAAGGAAGUUGUAGCUGCAAUGAGGUCUCCCCUCCGUCUCCUCUUCUCCAGGCUGCACAAAGUGACUUCAGCUGUUCAUCAUAUGACUUCCCCUCAAGGCCCUUCCUCAUCUUUGUUGACCUCCUUUGGAUGCUCUCUAAUAGCUUAAUAUCUUCUUGUUUAAGUAAGUUUAGGCUCAUUCUUAUAUCCAUGCUUAUGCCAGAAAAGUCAUAAAGAAAUGUGCUUCUCAUUGAGGGGAAAGGUGCUAAAUAUUGUGGUAUUUGUUAUUCCCUUGGGGCAGUUCAUUUUAUCAUCUCAGGUUGAUGGAAGUUUCAUCUCAUUCACAGAUGAACUGUGCUCUUAAUGAGACUUCCCCUAGCUAAACAAAUGAGGGUGUUGUCCAUGGUUGACCCUUUAGACUUUUAGGAACCAGGACUCCAACUUGCAAGAGAGAACAGGUGUGACCUGUAUGACUUGGACCAUCUUGCUGAGAAGAGGUCCUGAAGCAUUGUACAAGCUGGAGAUUUUCAUUCAGAAUCAGAUCUCACAAAGCAUGAGGCAGAUAAAUCAAGGGGUAGAUCACAUUUAUAGAGAGCUUUUUUUUUAAUAUCACUUUCCAAUGAAUCAUUAGUCUUUUACCUUUUUCUCCCCACAUAGGAAGGGAUAGAAUAUCAAUAUCUGAAGGAAAGAGGACAGCUAGGAACCUGGACUUCAGUGCAGAUAUUUUACAUAAUAGAGAAUUGUAGUUUUCCAAGAAGCAAAGACAAGAAAAUUUAUCGUGUGGCCUCUUUGCCUCCAGAUUCAAUUUUUUUAAAAAUAGAAAAAGACAGAUACUUUUUGGUAGAAGUAUGAAAAAGCAAAGGGUCUGAGGGUCAUAAGUGCAUCCUGUUUCACCAACAGUAAAACCUGCUUUGACCCUCCAUUAUAAGAAAAUAGCCCAAACAGCCUGUUUAGUAAAACAGAGAAAACACAGUGUCUCCAAAGGGCCUGGCCUAAGUGAGCAUCCAGAAUCCCAGCAAGCCAAGAAAUGAAGGCAGUCAGACUUGAUUAAAUUAUUUUUUACUACAAAUCUCAUUUCAGAGAAUGAUUAACGGGAGAAGAGACAUAAAUGGCAAAGUCUUGAUCAAAGGAGCUGCUGUCAGGGUACCAUCUAGAUAAAUCAGGAAAAGAAUGCUCAGGUUUCUGUGAAAGAAGACUAAUGACAUUAAGUCAAGAUGAAAUAGAAAGAAGUAGCAGUGCAGGCUGAAAUAAAAGACUAGCCUGUCUUGACAAGAAGCCCUGAGAAAUUUCCUGAACUGAAAAGUAACUGGAAUUGGAAAGGAAUGAUUUUCUAUAAGUGCCGGGUCUUGAAGUUAUUCAGGACAUCCUGAUGACCCAGUAAUGAAAUUUGCUUUUUGGAACAUGUCAAGACAAGUGAAAGAAUCCUCUGGAAGCACCUGAAACAGCAGUUGUUGGUAUCAGCUCUACACACUGCAGCUGUUCUGAAUCUCAUGUGCUCACUCUAUCCAACGGGAUCAGCCCUUUCACUUAAAGUCUGAAACAGUCCCACCUGGAGGCAAGCAGACAGAGGAUAAAAGGAGAGUGUGAAACCAACAGCCAGCUAAUGUUUAUGUAACUUUGAGAACCUGUUUACAAGAAAGUAGGAAUGGUAAUCUCCUGGAGGAAACAGUGGCCCUAACUGAAAUCUUGGGAAAACUUUAAAAGUGAUCUGAAGGUACCUGUGCAAAACAAAGGUUUCUCAGAAGUGUUUGCAUUGCAAGUGACAUCUGGCUGACAGGAAGCUGGAGAAAUGGGAUAUGAAGUGAAUGCUGCAGUUACCACGGUAUCAUAUUUAUCAAAAGGCUUAAGGAGCUCAUGUCUUCGCUACCUCGGUCAUCUUCCUAGCCUUUGGAUGAAGCAUCUGAAUCCCCAACAUUACCUCUGGAGCCCCUUUAAAAGCAGACUUCCUAAAAGCCACUGCUGGAGGCUGCUGACUGAUGAUCAAAGUUGUUCUCAAACGGGAGAUAAUCUGAUAAGAAGUGUAUUUGCAGCACAGGGAUCUCAGUUAUUUUACUUCUGCCCAUGGGAUGCCACUUCAGUUGUAGCUGUUUGAAUUAACAUGCCUCUUUGCUGCAUCUUCUGGCUGAGGAAACUGCAAGAAGUGCUCUCAUGGCCAGCAGAACAAAACGGUGAUCCACUCUGUUACUCAUUUCUGUGGCAUUUUUGUAAACCCACAUGGUUUAAUAGCAGAUACCUGAUGUAUUACUUCAUCAGCAAAUUCAACAAGGCCAAGAUGUCUUCAUUUUCCUUCAGAGCAAGAGCUGUAAGAGCAGUGUGAGGGAAGUGUUGGUCUUCUGUGGCCAGCCGGCGAGAACCCAUCAACAGCUGUGAUGAGCAGACCAGACACGGGGAACAGGAGGCAGCUGAAGCCAGAGAGGACCCACGCCUGGAGCUGUGUCUGUGUGAUUGGAGCAGAGAGAGGCCAGGACCCAAGGAAAUCCCAGCAGCAAGGGAAAAAAACAGAUUGACUCUCAGUGACUCAUUUAGCUCCUGGAUUGGACAGAUCUCUCCCCUGCUGGCAAUUUGGCUGAGCAUCAAUGGACAGAUACCAGGAUGAAUAGCUUAAAAUAAUUAGGGGUUGGGAAUUUGCAAAACUGCUAGCCAUCCAAUUCUUUACUGUGCAAUGCAAAGCAUAAAAAAGAAAUUACAUUUAGGUUAUUAAAUAUUAAGUCAGUGGAUUUACCUCCAUUUGGUGCAGAACAGGAAACUGGCUAAAAUUCAACAUUUAUAUCAUUGUGUUGAUGGUCUGUUUAUCACUGAACAAGUAAGUGCCUUUUGGCAGGUCAAGCUCUUUGACACAUGGGGCAAAUGUGUGCUUCAUUUCUCUCAAACAGAAGAAUUAAUAUAAUAAUAGUUAACACAGAUGAGAAUAGAAUUAAAAUCAAGUAAAGUCAGGAGUUCAGUUUAAUGCCAGGUGUUUCACAUUCUAGAUGCUCUGGGGCCAGAUUUUUUUCCUGUUGAAGGUAGUGAGGAUUUUGCCAUUGGCACUUUUGGGAGCUAAAGUGGGCCUUGGAUGCAGAGAAACAGGAUUCCCUGUACUUUCUUUUUAAUGCACAAACCCAGAAGCAACAGGCUCAUUUAGUAUCAGUAAAGGUCAGUUAAAAUUAUAGAGACAUCCUUUGGAGCAAAUCCUCUGCCUUGUAUUUGCAUAUUUAUGAAUUAGAGAUUACGACAGGCUAUUUCAUUUAUUAGAGCAGCACCACUAUAGUUAAUAGUCUGUCAGUAUUUCCAUUAUAAACCCCAUUUUUCAAUGUUUUAAUUUCUCAGCCAUUUAAAAUCACAUCAGGAAACAAGUUGGUCUUAUGUUGCCGGCCAGGUGCAAUUUUUUUGUUUUGGCUUAUUUUCCAUAAUGAAAUACUGUUCAUCAUAUAUGCAGAUGAGUCACAGCAUUUCUGUUGGGGGGAAAUAACGAAGUGUGUAAAUUCUUUGUGGCUUUGUUUUUCUUUAGGAAAGAAGGGAAAAGAGGGAUUUGACCAAUCACAUCCACUGGGGCUUCAUAUUUGAAGAACAGUUUUUUAAGCAACUACUCACAGAGCAAACACUGGUUCCUAAUGUGAAAUCAAGUUGCUGUUUGCUUGCCACUGGUGACCAAGGUAAAUAGGUGAGGAUGGUUCCCCUAUCCCUCAGAAAUUUCUUGUCUGCCAGAGUGAUAGGUGAAGCACACUAGGCAAGAAAGCAGUGAAUAUUAAAAAAGAGCCUUUAGAAGUAACAGGAGCCCGGGUUACAAAUUUUAAAAUCUGACCUCUUUUUAAGUGUCUUCCAGAUGCAGAGCAGUGCAGUACUGUACUGACUUUAUUGCUGAUAGUGGAGGUAGAGAAAAGGGCUUGGUGAUGCUUUGAGGGCAGUUGUGAAGCUACCUUGCACUAUGUCCAUGAACUGAGCAGUAUUGUUUAUUUCAGCAGUCUCACAUCAUGCUCCUUCCAAACAGCCACUUUGCUUUCAUACACGUUAGUUCACUAAAAAUAACUGCCUGGCAAGGGCAAAUGUUUAGACUAAAAUGACAAUUUUUAACUUUCUAGGGUAGCAAAAAGUUACUCUUCAGAGUAACUGAAAGAAGCUGGUCUUGCUCUACAACCUCUUAUCCUUUGAAAAGAGAAACAGUGCAAAUAGACAGUCCUGGUAAGUGGUUUGUUUUCAAGGUCCUGAAAAAUCAUUUGCUGCCACAGUAACUGGAAUUAAAAAUCAAAUUCAUUAAAAGAAAAAAAACGAGGCUAUGUGCAAAAGGUGUGUUGCUCUUUACUCUUGCCUCACAAACACAUAGUUGGAGGUGAGAACACAGUCCAUAUUUUCCACCUUUUCCAUCAUAAAGAUCUUUGUUCACAACUGAGGACUCCAGAUAAACUGUCAAUGGCAGGCCAGAAACACUACUGAAACAUCAUAUACAAUCUACUUGGUGCAUAACAGCUAAUAAAACUGCACCCUAGACGAGACACAGGGCUCAGCUGCUGUGCCACCUUCUGUGAAUUUUGACUGAAUUAAGAAUACAGCAAAUUUAGAAGUUACAUUACACACAUUUUUUUAAGUACAUGUGAGACAAGGUUGCAUAGACAGAAAUCUAUGAUCUUAAAGCUCCCAAAUCCAAAUGGUGAGACAGACUUUGCAUCUGACCUCUCAUCAACCUCAGGAGAACCAACAGCCCAGACUGAGACACUCCACUCAAGCUUGUGGAAAAUCCAUUCCAAAUCCAAGUGGCGAGGGUUCACCAUUGGUGCUUUCUUAAAGCAACAGUUAUUUGGGAUAUUUUUGUAGGUAAUUGGUAACUUAAAGUGCAUUUUUCAGAUUCCUUCCAGAGUUGCCAUUGAAAAGAACAAUCUUCCUUCCCCAGGCACAUCACAGUGCUUUUUCAGCUGAAAAUUAUCUCUGGUCAUGAUAGGUGAUCAUAACUGAAAAGCAGGCGGACUAGAGAUAUUCUGUGUUGAAUACAAAAUUACUUUAACAGUUUUAAAAACAGGUGUAACCCAAAGUAACAGUGGGGAAGGGAGGGUCUGCCAAACGGGUUUAAAAUGUCAUACAUUUUAAAAUGAAGUAUGAUGUGCUAUCUGCUGGAAACUCAGUCCAGGUUCAGUAAGCUAUCUGUACAGUAUUGCUCAUUUCAUAUAUGGUAUAUUUUGUCUUUAAUUUACAAUGACAUAAAAUCUUGUAUAACUGAUUGGAGUGCAUCUUUGAGUAUUAAAAAUACUAAUUAUUAUGUAAUUAGUCAACAGGAUGUGUGUAAUUGUGUAAUACCAGCAUUCCUGGGUGUGGUUAAGUACGUAGGUAGAAUGCCAACACUCAUCUAGAUGUAGUGUUAUGAAAUUACACAACAACAUACACCCUGGGUGGAUACUCUAAUUGUAUUUUACAUUUAAACAAUGGCUACAUUAACAAAAUAGAACUUAUUAUUUUUGAAAAUAUCUUCCCACAGGCAUGGAUCAUAGUAGAGGAUAGUAAUAAUAUUGCUCAAAUGAACUAUCUUCCAUCUCCUAAGGGACCCAGGCUUCUUCAUAAACGUACAAAUAGGAGACAGAAACCAGGCACAAAGAGGCCUUCAUUCACUCGUGGCAUGAAAUCACCCCAAAAUGGACAUGUGACAGUUGCUGAGUCGUUAAUUGCACUGGAAUAAUUGAAGGCAGAAAAAGAACAGGAAGAACUUUCUAUCUCAUGAAGAAUCACAUGGGAUUAACCAGAAAUGUGAUUAGAAAUGUUAUAUUUUUAUGACUUGACAGACAUCAGGACAACCCAUAAACCAUGGUGGGAACAGAAUCACAUAGUGAAUCAGAUUCUUCUUUGAACUUUCCUAGGGUUGACUGGUAUAAAAAAUGCUCACCUUGACCUUCUUUAUUGCUACAUCUGGGCAGCUCACCACAGUUGUACUCUUUUUUACUGCUUGAGAUUUACUUGUGUCCCUGGUGUGUUGUGAUAAGCCUCUGAAUGUCACUGCUGUGAAGGUUUCGUUCUUCUCAAAGACUCUCCGGAGGUUCAGUGAAGGCAAGUAGGGUUUGCUUUGUUUGAGAAAUAGAUUGUAUGUGUCACUAUUUUAAAGGGAAAUAUGGAAAGUGUUGGUUGAAUUUGACAGGAAAUUGGAAUGUUUGACUUGUCACAAGGCCAGUUUGUAUUAUGUGGACUUCUAACAUUGCUCAUAGUAGGUGGACCUCACCCCAUGGUGAUGGCUGGGUCAAGGCCUAGUUAUCAUGUGUGUGCUGUUUAACCUGUCUUUAGAAUUAGUCCAAAGUGGUGCAUAAGGCUCACGUAGUAGUAUAAAAUAAGAAACGUCAUCUGGAAAACACUACAGAGAAAUGCUGAAGUUUUGCACAUCGAAAAGGCUAAUUAGAAAUCCUUUUCUUUUAUAACAAAUAAACCAAGUAUAUUGACAUUAAUUAUAUAAAAUACACAAGGUUUGGAGUAAUCUGCUGAAGAUUACAGAUGUAUACCAAAUACUAUGCAAAUGAGUACGUGCAACUAUUCUUCAGGUAACACAUUUAUUUAUAAAAAUAAACUGUGUGUUCAGGUUUCUUUUUUAGUGGGUAGAACAUCAUGAAAGGUUUCUGUCUCUCUCUUGCUCUUACCCAACAUAGUGAAAUAGUUAUAGAUGUAGUUAUAUCUGUUCAUUACAGCCUAACAUCCAUUCUAGGAGCUUUGGAGCAGAUUAUUCCCAUACCUGAGUUAGUUGCAGUAGAUCUGUUUGCUUUAGUAGUAGUAGUAGUUCUGCAGUUUAGUAGUAGUUCUGUCAGCUUAGAUCACUGUAACUAGGAGCAGAAUCUGUUGGUAAAAUUCCUGUAAUCAUUGUAGAUUAUCACCUGGCUGGGGCUGUGUUGGCACUGGUAAGCUUCCUGGAGCCUGCUUCACAAUCUCCAAACCAUCCUACAAACGCUAGGGCUUAGCACUUUUGCUCUUAGAAACACCCAUCUACAAGGGCAAAUGUUGGUAGUUAAUUGUUGAUCUCUCCCAUCACCAGUAGAGGAUGUUGAAGUUGCCACUGCUGGUUCAACUCCUUGAAUUCUCCCAGUUUUCCUAACAAUUGUCUUAACAUUUCACAGGUGUGUCCACAGCUACUGUGUCUGCACAAAUUCCAAAAAGCUCAUGAUACAGUGUCUGUUUUCACCUCUCAGAUUGAAGCCCAUUAAAGGAUUUGAGGAAAACUAUUCAGUGCUGUGGGCAAUGAGGAGCAAAGAGGAUCCAUUUAGAUGAGUUGCAGGUAUUAUUUCAGACCUCUAAAAAGUAGGAAAAAUAUUUGUACUCUAUCAUUAUAACAGCAAUCUCUAUAUAUUUUCAAGAAUUGUCAAGAACUUGUCUCCAGUCUAGCUUGAAGAUUUUGGAAACCCACCACAUGCUACACGUGGGUCUGAACAAGAUUACCUAAGCCACAGAUGAUUGGGAGGGUGCAUAACACUGGUCAAACUUCAGCCUUUGACCUGUUCUUACACUUCCAGUUCUGACCUGUGCUUACACUUCCAAUUCUCACACUUCUGUUCUUACACCUGACUGUUCUUACACUUCCAGUUCUGAAUAUGCACUACUGGUAAUUAUCAGACAUAAAAUAUUGGGAUAAUUGGAUUUUUGUUCAACCCACUGUGCUUGGUCUUAGAUUUUUUAUGGUUCCAUCAUUUUCAGUGAGUCUAAAAAGGAGACAGCUUCUGUCCUAAUUGCACUGUCAUAUGGAAAAGCAGCAAUUUUUACCAACUCUGGUCACCCAAGGGCACCCUUUUAGAAAGAGUCACCUCUGACACAUGGAUCCAUGUUGGUUGACAUGAUAGAAGCAGCACUUGUAAAAAAAAUGGUUUGGAGUUGCAUAGCUUUUAGUGGCAACUAAAUGACGAAAAGAGUUGCAGGAGUGGGAGCAACAGGAGACUAUCAGUUGGGAAGUUGGAGUGAAAGCUUUUAUAUAUAAUUUCAGCUGUUUGAGAGGCAGAUGGUUCUGUUAGUAACUAUUCCUUAUGUAGAGAUCAAACUUCUAAAGACCUUCUUGCAUCUGCUUUGGAUAAAAUAUAUAAAAAAACUAAACCCCUGAGCUUUCACCUUCAGUGUGCAGUCAGGAAAUUAGAAGGAAAAGGAGCUGUUAUGCCUGUGAAAUUAAAUUGGACUCAAAGAUAAUUUAGGAUCAUAAUAAAGGUGAGAAGGUUCAGAAUCUUUCUGAACUAUUGUGAUACCUGUACAAAGGGUAUUGACCUGCUGUCUAACUUUUUUGUUCUUGCUUGAAACCUAAAAUUUGGUUUCAAAUAAAAAUCAAUCUCUACCAGUUCAUAUAAUACAAGUACUUUAUUGCAUUCUGACUGAAGCAGUGUUGCUCAGAGAUGAGGGGCCAAGUCCUGGUCUUGUGGCAUGGAGAGUUUCCAGACCACAGGCAAUUCUGACUUUAGGGGAAGGUGAGGGAGGUAGACAAAAAGAAACUAAGUCACAAAUGAAAACUUUGUGUUCCUUUCUAGCACUACUGGUUUUCUGAUGAAAUUUUCAAAAUUUCAGAUAAGUGGCACAUUUUCAGCCAACUCAAGGAAAUCAAAAUAGGAAAGCUCAGCUUUGCAAGGAGAAAC